rnacentral:rRNA from 1 species
UUUAAAGCAAAUAAGGGCGUAUGGUGAAUGCCUUGGCUCUAAGAGGCGAUGAAGGACGUGGUAAGCUGCGAUAAGCUACGGGGAGCUGCACACAAGCGUUAUAUCCGUAGAUUUCCGAAUGGGACAACCUGGUAUACUGAAGGUAUAUCAUCCAGCAAUGGAAGCCAACCCUCCGAACUGAAACAUCUAAGUAGGAGGAGGAAAAGAAAAUAAUAAUGAUUCCCCAAGUAGUGGCGAGCGAAAAGGGAAAAGCCCAAACUCUGGCAGCGUGCUGCCGGAGGGUUGUAGGACUGCAUUUAGAAAUCAAUCUCAAAUAGAAUCUUCUGGAAAGUUGAGCCAUAGAGCGUGAAAGCCGCGUAAAUGUAAAUGAUUGAGGACGAGCAGUAUCCUGAGUAAGGCGGGACCGGAGAAAUCCUGCCUGAAUCUGCCGGCACCAUCCGGUAAGGCUAAAUACUCCUUAGAGACCGAUAGUGAACCAGUACCGUAAGGGAAAGGUGAAAAGCACCCUAAAUAAGGGAGUGAAAUAGUACCUGAAACCGUACGCCUACAAGCGGUCGGAGUUCCGAUUUAUCGGAAUGACGGCGUGCCUUUUGCAUAAUGAGCCUACGAGUUACUCCUCACUGGCAAGGUUAAGUUCUUAAAUAACGGAGCCGUAGCGAAAGCGAGUCCAAAUAGGGCGACUAGUCAGUGGGGGUAGACGCGAAACUUUGUGAUCUAUCCAUGGGCAGGUUGAAGGUGUGGUAACACACACUGGAGGACCGAACUCAUGAGCGUUGAAAAGCUCUGGGAUGACCUGUGGAUAGGGGUGAAAGGCCAAUCAAACUGAGAGAUAGCUCGUUCUCCCCGAAAUGUUUUUAGGAACAGCGUCGCAUUUUAGAAGUAUCAUAGAGGUAGAGCUACUGAUUGGGCUAGGGGGCUUCACCGCCUACCAAACCCUGACAAACUCCGAAUGCUA